GGAAACUAAACAUAGAUGUAAUGUAGUAUGCCUAUAUGUAUGCAUCCACAUACAUGUGUGUGUUCAAUUGUGUGUGUGUGUGUGGUGUGUGUUUGUGUAUGUGCAUGUGUGUGUAUGUACAGGGGUGCAGGAAAUCCUCUCCUAAAAACACAAUCUUCUAAUGAGCAGGAACAUCAAAGACUUGAGGAAAAUCUUCAGUCCCUGAUGAAGCAGAGGGAGCUGCUCACCCGGCAAAGGGACUUGGCAGUAAAACUGCAGCAACACUUCACUGUGUCCCAGAUGAGGUUUGAAAACCUCCAGCAGGAACUGGGGCAGACCACAGCCCAGGAUGAGAGCCUCCUGCAGAUGGAGCUGCUGAAGCAGAAACACUAUGUCCCAGGCAACACCUGUUAAGAAGACUGAGAAGGCUGGAUGAAGCCAGGAACACCUUGAAGGCAUGACAUUCUACACUCCAGGUUCAAGGCCUCCUCAGAAAAUGCCACCUCUUUUCAGCUUUGAACUCACUAGUGAGGCAAAUAUCAACGUACCAUCAGGGGAUCCAGCCUCAAUCUGAUCCAUAUCAGUGGGCUCACUAUCACUGGAGAAAAUUUUGUGUCAGAAAUAAGUCUAAAAUACAGAGAACACAAGACAAAUUAUUAAGAACCCUGACUCCAUAUGUGAUGGGAAAUCUGACAAGCAAGACUGUGUUAACGUCACACUGCCAUCUAGACAGAACACACCAAAAGCACAAGAAUCUCUCUACUGCAGUGCUGAAGCUGACACCAUGUCAUGGGCAAGUGUAGCUGAAGAUAAUUCACUAAGGAGAAUAAGCCAGUUCCUCACCGCUUUUGCUCUUCCAUAAUGAAAUUACAAAGGAAACUGUAAAUUCCUUAAUAUUUUUGUUUUAUAUCUUGGGAUAUUUAUGCUUUGGUUUUUGGUUUUCUUCAUUUUCAUUUAAGGUUUUGUUAACUUUUGUUAUUACUUUUAUCUUGUCAUUGCUUUAAUAGUUUGCUAAGGCUAUACACUGUAUAUAAUGAUACUGUUUUAAAGGCCCCAUUGAGUAAAAUGAAUGUAUUUUAUGA